UCCCAGCAUCGGGAUUUCUGAUGAUCGGAACGUGAAUAUACAAUGCAGAUAUUAAGUCCUAUUAUCUUUGUAUUAGUAAGAGAAUUCACUUUCAGAGUCAGUAAGUUUUCUUCGCCCUUCAUGCUGAACCAACUUGGGAUCUCGCUUCCAGGAAAGUAAGUGCUGAAGAUGCCAAACUCAUAGAGUCCCUGCACUGAAUUUUUCUUUUUUGUGUUGGUAAGCCUAUUAAAUAGUUCCACUUCUGCGUUUUGUAUAUCAUCCAGGUUUAGAUGGUUCAGAGUGUUCACCAUUUCCUCUUCAAAAUUUCUUACUGGCUCCAGCUUGAACAAUCCAGGAAUCUCAGUUAGUUUCUCGCUGCCUCUAACAUCCAAGAAUAAUCUAUGAGUCUCCAAUAAGCUUGGCAUAGUUGUAACUCUUUCUAGUAAUGUGCAUUCUGUAGCCUUCAGCUUGAUGAGCGUUGAAGGAAGAUUGGGGAGUGAUUGGAGGUUUGGGCACGCGUCUAGCCAAAGGUCCUGAAGCAUACAUAGAUUUGUUAUACUCUGUGGUAGGUUAGAGAUCAG
rnacentral:misc_RNA from 1 species